rnacentral:misc_RNA from 1 species
AAGUCGUAACAAGGUUUCCGUAGGUGAACCUGCGGAAGGAUCAUUAAAGAUUCCGGCCUCACGGUCGAACCUCUUCAGCUGUGCGCUUCGGCUGCACGCUGUCGAACCUCUCACACCUGUGCACCGUCCGGUUGGGUCUCACUCGUGAGGCCCUCCCGCUUUUACAUUCAACCACAAGUCUCGCAUGUAACAAACCAUAACAUAUAACAACUUUCAACAACGGAUCUCUUGGCUCUC